UGCAAAAAAAAUGGCGGAUAAAUAAAUAUGUAAGAGCAAGAGCGCGGUUGAGAUUGAUAUAAGCGCGCAUGCGCGUGGCUUUCAAGAAAGAUAAAGCGAGGUCAAUGGAAAGUGGCAUAAUCGCGGAUGUGGAUCGCCCAAGGAGAGCAGAAGAGAUCCUUUACCUUUCUUAUGUAACUAUUUACUUGUCGUAUCUUAUUGUGCUUACUAUACAGGAUAAUAUCAAUAUCAACGAACUGUCUUACCUGGAAGAAACAAACAACUUGUUAUUUCACCCCCCAAUUAUUUUUUUUCACCUGUCUAUUUUUUUUUAGUUGAUUAACUAAAAAUUUCUAGCAUAGUCCCAUAAAAAGAAAAAAAUUUAAGGAUUAGCCGAAGCAUAAAAUGAACUUGACCUUGAGACAGCCCGAAACCCGAUCAAGCGCAAUUAAAAUUCAGAGGUAUAAAACAUAACGAUAGCAACGUCUGCCAAAUCCACGGGACAUUAUUGUCCGAGGUCAUUCAACGCAAGUUGAAUGUACUUUCAAGAUAGUCUAUAUAUGUAUUGUAUAUCAUUUCUAUUUGCAAGUAUCAAUUACAAAAAAUACCAAGUAAAAGGUGUAAGAGAGAUUGCACUUGACCCUGAAAUAAAAAAUGAAGAAAAAAAAUAUUAAUAUAAUAGAAUAUUAUUUAACUUGUUUUAUUGUUAAGUUUAUCAAAAAGCAAACGAAAGAAAAAAGCAAAAGGGAAGAUAAGGCCAAGAAGAGAAGGUGAAGCGAUAAAACACCUGAUUAGAGUAAAAAUAAAAACCCGAAGCAGCGGUGAUGAAUUAUCCUGUUUACAUUUAGUAGAAUCUCGGACUGAGAAUAAGAAUUAAGGAAAGAAAACUGGUGAUGAGAGGGGACAGCUAAACAGUAAACAGUAACUACAGCAUUCUUGUUGGACACGAAUGAACGCAGCAGGGGGAGAAGUAGGAGACUUAACUUGACUCUUACAUUAUAUUAGUGUCGGGCACCCAGAAGUAAAGACUUACAGUGGAUAUAAGAGGAAAGAGAAUGCAACGAAUCCAACGAAGAUACAAGUUAAUAUCCAAUGCCUGGAUAGAAGGAAAUGUAGGACAAUAACCUCGAGUAACCUCCAUCAGGCAAACCUCCAUCAAGGAUGGAGAAGUCCAAGUCCAUCCUAUAUCUUACAACAAACUUAACUCAUACAAACUCACAGGCAGGUCUACAGGUGUCGUUGAAGCUGAUGUACACACACCUUUCACAAAACUGAUUCAUUUUACAUCCUAGCCACUUACACAACCCAGCCAGCAUGUCCAGGUCUGCUCUGAUAUUAUAUUUGGUUCCAUGAUUCUUGAUCCUUCGACAAAAUAUCC